AGUCUUAUAGUCAACUUAUGAUUUUAAAUUGCAAAUUUAAAGGUGAAUGUAGUUCUAAGGCUU
rnacentral:tRNA from 1 species